rnacentral:rRNA from 1 species
UUUUUUCAGACUAGCCAUGCACGUCUAAGUACAAACUAAAUGAUGGUGAAACUGCAAAUGGCUCAUUACAACGGUUAUGAUGUACCCGGGAGUUCCGAUGGAUAUUUCCAGUAACACUAGAACUAAUACAUGUCCCUGCGUUUAUUAGUUUCGCACAGUCCGUCGCUGAGUCAUGGUAAACAGUUGAUCGACUCGACGUCCCGGAACAGUUUCCGCCCCAUCAGCUUCGAUGGUUGGGUAUUGGCCUACCAUUGCAACAACGGGUAACGAGGAAUUAGGGUUUGAUUUCGGAGAGGGAGCCUGAGAAACGGCUACCACAUCUACGGAUGGCAGCAGGCGCGCAAAUUACCCAAUGCAGACACUGUGAGGUAGUGACGAGAAAUAAUAAAGCGGGACUUCUGUUUCGCUAUUAUAAUGAGGAAUAACCAAAGGUCAUUCCGAUUAGCAACUGAUGGGAAAGUCUGGUGCCAGCAGCCGCGGUAAUACCAGCGUCAGUAGCA